rnacentral:rRNA from 1 species
UACGUAGGGGGCAAGCGUUGUCCGGAUUCAUUGGGCGUAAAGAGCGUGUAGGCGGCCAAACAGGUCCGUUGUGAAAACUGGAGGCUCAACCUCCAGACGUCGACGGAAACCGUGUGGCUAGAGUCCGGAAGAGGAGAGUGGAAUUCCUGGUGUAGCGGUGAAAUGCGCAGAUAUCAGGAAGAACACCAAUGGCGAAGGCAGCUCUCUGGGACGGUACUGACGCUGAGACGCGAAAGCGUGGGGAGCGAACAGG